CAAAUGAGAGACUGGAUUCCUAAUUUAAUUUUAAUUCUAAGACCAUGCAUGUGUCCCCAGGUUCAGUUCUUUCCCUGCAUCUGGUUUUCUAAAUGGUGGUGCUAAGU
rnacentral:snoRNA from 1 species